rnacentral:rRNA from 1 species
GAUGAACGCUGGCGGUGUGCCUAAUACAUGCAAGUCGAGCGAACAGAUAAGGAGCUUGCUCCUUUGACGUUAGCGGCGGACGGGUGAGUAACACGUGGGUAACCUACCUAUAAGACUGGAAUAACUCCGGGAAACCGGGGCUAAUGCCGGAUAACAUUUAGAACCGCAUGGUUCUAAAGUGAAAGAUGGUUUUGCUAUCACUUAUAGAUGGACCCGCGCCGUAUUAGCUAGUUGGUAAGGUAACGGCUUACCAAGGCAACGAUACGUAGCCGACCUGAGAGGGUGAUCGGCCACACUGGAACUGAGACACGGUCCAGACUCCUACGGGAGGCAGCAGUAGGGAAUCUUCCGCAAUGGGCGAAAGCCUGACGGAGCAACGCCGCGUGAGUGAUGAAGGUCUUCGGAUCGUAAAACUCUGUUAUUAGGGAAGAACAAAUGUGUAAGUAACUGUGCACGUCUUGACGGUACCUAAUCAGAAAGCCACGGCUAACUACGUG